GAUGAACGCUAGCUACAGGCUUAACACAUGCAAGUCGAGGGACCGGCGCAAGGGUGAGUAAAACGUAUCCAACCUGCCCUUUCCUCGGGGAUAGCCUUUCGAAAGAAAGAUUAAUACCCGAUAUAAAGGAUGGGGCUGCGUUCCAGUAGGGUGUGGGUGUGGUAACGGCUCGCCAAGCCUUCGAUGGAUAGGGGUUCGGAGAGGAAGGUACCCGACAUGAGAUCUUAGACACGUUCCAGAGUCCUACGGGAGGCGGGAGUGAGGAAGAAUGGGGAAUGGGCGUUAGCCUGAACCAGCCUAGUGUCUUGAAGGAUGAAUGCGUAUGGAUCGUAAACUGUUUUGAUAGAAGAAUAUGUAUUAUAUUAAUAAGGAUCGGCUAACUCCGUGCCAGCAGCCGCGGUAAUAC
rnacentral:rRNA from 1 species